rnacentral:misc_RNA from 1 species
UUGAUUCGAUUUGCCAUGUGACUCAGAUCCCAUCAUUGAAACAGGGUUGGAGGUCCUCUGGCGGGCGCUGUCCAGCAAGAGCCGGCGGUGCGAGGCACCGGCCCGCCAAAGCAACAGUUGGGUAAACAAAGGGUGGGAGUAAGGACCCUAGGGCCCUAGAACUCGAUAAUGAUCCUUCCGCAGGUUCACCUACGGAAA